GACGUAGGUGGCGAGCGUUAUCCGGAAUCAUUGGGCGUAAAGGGUGCGUAGAUGGCAUGAUAAGUUAUUAGUGGGAAAUCGAGGCUCAACCUCGUGGAAGCUAGUAAUACUGUUUUGCUUGAGUACAGAAGAGGUUAACGGAACUCCAUGUGGAGCGGUAAAAUGCGUAGAUAUAUGGAAGAACACCAAUAACGGCGAAGGCAGUUAACUAUUCUGUUACUGACAUUGAGGCACGAAAGCGUGGGGAGCAAAACGG
rnacentral:rRNA from 1 species